ACAUUCAACUCAUUAUUAAUG
rnacentral:miRNA from 1 species